AGGUCCUAUUUUGUUUUAUGGAGUGUCCAACAACAAGUUUACGUACAUACUGUACAAGGUGUAAAACACUAUUAUUUUGUUAUAACAGUCAGUUAUUAUUACAUUCUUCUUGACUGACUCUCAAAUGAUCCAUUCGGCAAAUCAUCUGUCUAAUCCCCUCCUUUCCGCCAGCCUACUCUGAUGUGAUUGGUCAGAUGGUCUAGUCUGCUGUGAUUGGUCCACCGCGAACGAGACUCACGAGCUACAGUGUUUGGGGGAGAAGAGUGACGUUUUCGUGGGCAGUCCUAGCUAAACGCGGGGACUAUAUGUAGUGACGUAAAUCCGCGGCAGUUCGCGAAUCGGACAGGGCACGACUCGCUUGUGUGAUUAAGAGUCGACGCCCUUUCUUCCAAGCAAAUAACUUUGUUAUUCAUUCACCUUCGGCUUUACAUCUUGGCAGACUAUUCACACACGGCAACAUUACACACAUCUCGUAAUACUCUUUAAAAGUAUUAGGCUAUAGAGUACUUGAGAAAUUUAUCAAAUCUUGCUCUGCAAACGAACGACGUCUUGUGGUGCCAUCCCAAAAAGCUGUUCAAGAGGACUAAGAGACGUGAUGAUGGAGAUAAAAACAACGCCUUUAAGAACAUUGUUAGUUGUGUGUUUUUCUGGUCUUGGAUUUGCGAAUGUACUCAUAAAGCAAUCUUGUUUGCAAGAGAAACAUGAAGUAGGUGCUUCAGCAAUGCUCUACUGCAACAUCACUAGCGAUACUGAAGUCUUGACAAGCUGCGAAAUGGAGUGGGAAAUUUGGAAUGAAAUGAAUGACAGUGUCAAGGAGAUCUCGAAAAUACCAAAAUAUCACAACAGAGUCAUGGUCAUGUCCCAUGGCACCCUCAGCAGCUCAUUGACCAUACGAGAUCUGAAGGUCAAUGACACUGAGGAGAUACUUUGCACAGCAAUAUGUUUUGUUAAUGGGGACCUCAAAGUCAUCAGCAGUGAUGGGACAAUGCUUAAGAUAACCGAAAAAAGCAACAAGGAACAAGAUCAGAAGCCUGAAUUACUGUGGUUGAAAUAUCUAAUUUUCUCCAUUAAUUGUCUAAUUUUAACAGUUUCACUGGUAAUCUUUAUCUUGAUUAUUCGUAAAAAGAGGCGAAAAUGUAAAAAGGCGAAGUCAGUGAAGCUUUGAAAGGAUGCUUCACUGGGCUCGAAGUUAAAACUACUUGAAAUUGGUUGCAUGCUUCCUGAUUAGGCUUUAUAUAUUCCAUAAAAGUCAAAAUGCUUACAGUACACAUAAUGGUGACUUGGUUCAAUGAAUAAAUAAAUGUAGCUUAAUUCUUAAAUCAACUGUACAGCACAGCAUAAUCCAUGUAAAAGCAUACAAAAUAAUAAAGCUGUCUUUGACAUUAAACCCUGAUGUACUAUUACAAACCUGUUCAUUAUAACUUUAAUACUUUCAACUAAAUAUCUUGGGUAAGAGAAACUUACCAAUGUCUUGUUUCGACAGUUUCAAAUUUUUCGACAGAAAUGAAAGUGAAAUUGCAGUAACUUGCUAUAAAGCAAGGAAAAGAAGGCUAUCAGGUUACAUAUUUGGGUAAUAGAUAAAUAUACCAUACAUGUGUCCCCUGGUGUGAUAUAGCAAAAUUGAAAAUAAAAACAGGUUAAUAAUAUUUUAAAUAAUAAAAUAUAUUAUAAAAAAUAAAAAGUGUUCUUCUAUGGCAUUGCUGUGAAGAACCUUUUAAGCACCCUUUAUUUUUAAGAGUGAAUAGAAGAACCAAUUUUGGUUCCAUCAGUCUCUUUCCAUUCAGUCUCUUUCUUAACUUUUUAUAAUCUGAAGAACCUUUAUUUGUCACAAAGAACCUUUUGUGAAACAGAAAGGUUCUUCAGAUGUUAAAGGUGGAACUAUUCUUCUAGGCAUCGUGAAGCACCUUUAUUUUUAAGAGUGUAACAAACACAAAAUAAAUUUUAUACAACAUCUAAACCAUGUCUACUUAACAGAGCACUAAUUGUGCUUUUUACCCCCAACAAACCACCACCUUAUAAACCAAGUCUGCUUUUGCCUUUCAUUAGUUCAGGAAUGCAAACAGAUGCUCUAUUGUGACCUCAUUUCUGUUAAUAUCAAAAUGUUUUUUACCACAUCAAAAAAUAGCUGCUUAACCACUGAAUUGAGCUAACAUUGCUAUAUGAUGAGUUAUUAAUCCAGUAAAUUAAAGUUUUUUUUUAGAACAUUUUACAAUGAAAGCAUUUGUUUUUUGAGCAACAAUCAUUUGUAUACGUUCACUUUGCAUUACUGUAGGAACAAUUACACUUACCACUUCAUGAAUUGUUCUCACGUGGCUCUAAACACAAUAACGUUUUUAGUGUUUCUCUCAGUUGGUUAGAUCACCUUCAUGACAUCUGUAGUUGUUUUAUGAUGUAUGCUUGUUCUUGAGAGGAAAUAUUAACACAGUUAUUCUUGUGAAAGAGGAUUCUGCUACCAACAUCCCAUGCUAACUGAUGUUGUGGUGGGUGUCUGUCCACCACAGCAUACAAAGACCCUGUGCUUUUAUCAGAUUGUUUUUACAGUAGCUAUACAAAACAAGUUCAGCAGACUCUGAAGUUAUGCCUGCUGUACAAUUUAAAAUCUGGCAGAUGUAUUUGCACCUUCUCUAAAGGGCACAGUACAGCAAUCUGAAUAAAUUGCCUAAGUGACCAGACAAAAGUACUGUUUUCUUUUCAGUGCAAACACAGGCAAAGAACGUCUAAAUUACCUCCAUUUUCUGGAAGCAUUUUGUGAUCAAAUCUGUCAUUUUAUGUUUUCAGGAAACAUGGGGGUUGGGCCACCGAUUCAAGAGAUAAAACAUUCCUGUCACAAACACAUGUCUGAUCUUGCAUUUACUGUACCCACAGUGACAGAUCCUCACUUGAAUUUAUAAUUGUAUCACACUUGCCUAUUUCUUAUUUUAUAAUAAAUAUACCUUACAGU